rnacentral:rRNA from 1 species
UACGAAGGGGGCUAGCGUUGUUCGGAAUUACUGGGCGUAAAGCGCACGUAGGCGGAUAUUUAAGUCAGGGGUGAAAUCCCAGAGCUCAACUCUGGAACUGCCUUUGAUACUGGGUAUCUUGAGUAUGGAAGAGGUAAGUGGAAUUGCGAGUGUAGAGGUGAAAUUCGUAGAUAUUCGCAGGAACACCCGUAGCGAAGGCGGCACUCUGGGCCGGUACUGACGCUGAGACGCGAAAGCGUGGGUAGCAAACAGG